AUCCCCAUUUCUAUAAGUACUUCAAAACAUAUUCCUUCAACAUAGAAAACGAUGUCUUUCACUCAAAUUCCGCGAAAGAGAGCAAGAAAGAAAAAAUCUCUGAAAGAGGCUGAUCAUAUACGACCUUGGUCGAUACCAAGUACUCUCCAUGGAAUAUUCAUUUGAGCAAGAUGUUGGCAUCAAAUUGCAGCGGUGAAGGACGAGCUGAAUCUAUAUCGAUACUACCUCGACCUCGAUCCUUCACAUUGUUAUUAAUUAAAUACAUAGUCACAGUCUCAUUGUAGACUAUGUAUCAAAUAAUACUUUGAAUGCAGAUUCAGGAAUAAAUUAAAAUAUUUAUUUAGUUCUA